CUAGUCAUAAAGCUGGGGAAGCAGCAUUGGACCAAACCAUGCCCUCUGAAUGUGGGUGCCAGAUGUGUUCAAAGUAUUCAGGGUUCAUUGCAAACUCUUUGGGCUGAAGGAGGAGGUGUAUGCAUCUAACGGGCUUUUUACCGAUGAAAUAUGAAGCAGAUGGUCUCCCACAGCUUUUGUUAGAAGCAUCACCAGGAACCAAUGAGAUUAUAAUUUAACUACAUUUGUAUCAAAAAGAAACACUUGACCUUAAAGAACGUGGCCCCUUGUCAGCCUCUUGUCACCCCAAAACACACAUAAAUGGCUGACAAGAGCCAUUUGGUGGGCCUCAGAAACCUAAGGAUAAAAUAGGGUGGAAACUCACACACCUGCCCAUGUCUCUCACCACUUUCCCCAAAACCAACAUGCCAAACCGUGUUUUGCUAGUGGCUGGUGGCUGGAUAAACAGGGGCCCGUGAAAUGGAAAAUACUGUAUACUUUAGAAAUUUGACUUGGUCCCCCACCCCCAAGAAAUUAGCAGAAGAGAGCACACUAUGUUCUGUGAAAAUACAGCAUUUAUGUGGGAGAAGACCUUUGUCCCUCCCUGGUGCCCAUUCCAAGUCCCUUGAAAAUGGGAUAAAAAUCCUAAGGAAAAUCUGCUCUCCUACCCUGUCCCUGAAGUCCUCAAGGAACAAAGUGGCUCUACCACUCCAGGAGGUCAACACCCAGGAGCACCUGGUGCACAGUUGCCUGAUGUCUUCCUGACAGAAAGAGUCCUUGGCAACUAAGUAAUGAAAACAUGUUGUAAACAGAUACUGGUGAUAGCUGUACAAAAAAUUGUGAAUGGCUUUAAUGCUGGUGACAUGUAUGCUUCAAACAUGGUUUUAGUGGUAAAUUUUUAUGUUAAAUCCAUGCAUAUAUGUGUAUACAACAACCAGUAAAAAAAAACUAAAUACAAUAAAAAAAGUAGGUUACAGUAGAGGCAGCAAGGUAGCUCAUUGUUGAGAGCCUGAUAAUCUGAGAUCAAUUUGCAUAUCCCACAUGCCCAAAGGAGACAACCAACUGCCAAAAAUUGUCUUUUGAUCUACACUCGAGCACACACACACACCACACACACACACACACACACACACACACACACAUAUGCACGCACACCUUGGCACAUAUUAAAAUACACACAUGUGCAAAUAUGCACCCACAAAAUUAAUUUAAUUAAUUAAUUAGAAUAUGCCAAGAAAAGAAACCAGGCCACAGCAAUAAGAGACUUUGUAAUAACUGAAUAUCGAACCCUCAGAAAUAUGAGUUGCCCCCACUCUGAGGAAGGCACUCACUCUAUUUGAAAACAGGCGUCCAUGCUGAUUGCACAUCAGAAGGAGUAUAACUUAGACAUCAAAUAACAGCAACACAAACAACAAACAAGACUAUUUUUCUAACAAGACUCUGCUCCCCUGAGAACCAUAAGAGUUGUCAGCAUUCCUUAAGAUGACAAAUCUUUUUCCCCUUAAUUAGCUCUUCUGCAGACAAACUGGCCCCGAACAGAUGGCUACAAAGCUAGCUGCAGAUAAUAUUUAAAAAAAAAAAAAAAGAAAAGAAAAAACAGCAACGGCAAGAAUUGAUCCUAUUAAAUUGCCUUAAAUUUUAUUGCCAGUUAAACAGCUACUUUAUUCUAACCUUCAAGCCAGAAUCUAACCUUCCAGGUUAGAAAGAUGCACAGAGGGGUUCGUGAGUGUCCAAGGCUCACCACCUCCAUUGAUGAGUGAUCAUAUUCCAAAAGUAGCCAUGCCAAUACUUAUUGUCUUAUUUCCUAAAUUUUUCCAGAUUGCAGUUGCAUCUAAUAGACCUAGAACAUUUUCCCCACAUAGGAAAAUAUAAAAGCUCUCUCCAAACUGUGCUAUCCCAGUUCAUAUUUAUGAAGUCAGACGACAUAUCUCACCACAAAAUCCAAAUUCAGUCUCACAUCCAGCCAGGAGUAAAGCAGACAUGAACCUUAAGGAAACAGACACUCCCCCACCGUGAGUGCACACACAGGAGACCCUGAACAGGUAAAACACAAUGUCAUCUAUGCCUGGCAGUUUAGAGAGCAGACUUUGACAAACACAACAAUGUGGACUUCAUGUUAACCUUGGGCUCUUCACACCAGUCCCGAUAGACAACACUGUACUUGACACUUUACAUACAACAAUAGAAUGGUCAUGUUACCUCUCAGGUCAUGCAGUCACCAGGUGGAGGAGGAGAUGUGGAGGCUGGCAAUGUUGACCUUGGCAUGUUCUGGACCACUCCUCAGUGCCCCAUGGUUAAGGAAAUCCAGGCUUUGCAUCCACUGUGACCUCAGCAGACUGGUUGCAUGGAGGUUCUAGAAAGUUCCAUGACUAACUUAGGAUCCUUGAAAGACACUAGAGCUCUUACCUCCUAAAGAAACUCUUCUUGUAUCAUAGUGUGGUAUUUUAUAAUGUAUUGGAUUAUAAAACUACAAUGUGCAUUGUAUAUACCACAUUUAUAUCUGUGUAGUACACUCCAUUAGCAUAUAUUUUAUUAUGUGAAUAUAAAUUACAUAUCACAUACUAUCUCUUCAAUUGAGCACCUAGAUGAUCAUGUGUAGAUACAUGAAUGUGGAGCUUACAAGUCAGCCUUAUAUGUCUUCAUCAACCUUUCUCUACCUGUUGUUUGUUAUUUUGAGGGGAAUUGGGACUGGCUUUAUUUUGAGUCUGUUUUUGGUUUCCUGAGACAGGGUCUCAUUAUGUAGCCCUGGUUGGUUUGGUGCUCACUGUAUAGACAAGCCUGACCUUCAAAGAGAUCCAAUUGCCUCUGCCUCCUGAGUGGUGGGAUUAAAGGCCUGUUCCACCUAAUUUUCUGACACAGCUGCUCUCAUUGAAUCUAGAGGUCACUAGUUGGCUAACCUGACAGGCCAGCUAGCCCAAGUUACCCCCUGUCUCUACAUACUGAGCACUGGAUUUCAGGCACUUGCCACAUGUCAGCUUUGUUUUUUAACAUAAACCAAACUCAGAUCCCCAUGUACUGGGAGCACUAGACCCCCUGAGCCAUCUCAAAGUCCCUUUGUGGAGUGAGGGGUAAGAGAAGACAGGAGAUGUGCCCUGCUCAUCUCUCAAGGUUUUCUCUACUGUCUCUCUGCUGUGGUAGAAGGCUUGGAAGUAGGAUGGUGGAUGGUGUGUGCACAGCUCCUCACAGGCAAGACCUCACUUGAGGGUGGUCCAGCAAGUCACCCUCAGCUUGUGGUAAAUCCACAGGGCCUGUUCUUACCGCACUUUUCAGCAUCAGCUUCUCUGGAGCUGAAAAGAAAAGUCCAGCCAAGUGGGGGAGUGUCCAAUGAAUCAGCUAAGAAAGGUCCCAGCAGUAAACUAGACACAUUCCACCCAGUGUCUGCUCCAGACACCCUCUACUAUUGAUCCUUGUGGCAAUCUUGUGUCAAAGAUAAAAAUGACCAGGACCAGUGAGACGGCCAGUGGGUAAAAGCAUUGGCCACACAAACCCACUGACUUGAUUUUAAUCCCCUAAAGCCACAUACAGAGAGCAGAGAACAGAUACCACAAAGUUGCUAUCAACCUUCCAUAGACUGUGACAUGCAUACACCCACACACACAUGCACACUCACACAGAACAAUAAAACAGUGUUUAAAAAGAAAUAUAUACAGCCACGGUUCCACAGUAGAAUUUGUUAAACAAGUUGUGUCAGUUCCACUGGCUGCAAUCUGCCGAUUCAUUCUGAUUUUGCCAAUAGCUUGCCAUUGUCGAUCACAAUUUUAUUCCCAUCUAACUCUCUGGUCAUACAUCACACUUUACACAAUUACAGGACAGCUGACAAAUGAUUAAAGGAGGGGGCAGAGUUCAGAGUCUGAUGAGACACAGGCAGAGAAAAAGGCCUGCUGGGUAGGAAGGCUUGGGAAUCACAGAUCUGUGGACUGCAGGGCCAUGUAACAGGUUGGGUGUUACAGGCAGGAGAACCUGCAUUUGAGCUGGAGCCUGGGGACAGAGGCAGGAAUCUCCUCUGGCAAUCUCCUGGAUGGGGCUCAGAGUAGUUAGCCGGUCUGCCACACUUUCGCUUGAAGACAUCCUUUUUUGUCAUCUCGGGUCUUAUGGCCACACCUGGUGAGACUGAUAAGCCCAUUUGUCUGGAGUCUCUGAUGGGAUUGGAUAUAUUUCCAGGUGUCACUAUUUAGCAGUAUAAAUAGAUUAUCAGCACAUGCCUGCUGCUCCACUAGCAGAUGGUGGCUGUUUACUCAUGAAGACAAGACGCAGUAUCAUUCUUUCUUGGCACUUAGACUCCAAAUGGAGUCACUCAGGUCAAGGCUGUCACUUCACUAAAAUGUCUGAAAUGAAUACUAAGCUGCACAUCUCUUCCGGGCCUGAAGACAAAUCUGUAGUCACAUCUUUGCUCUGUCCCAUGAUGAGAGUGAGCAAGCAUGUGACUACUACACAGUCCCAUCCCAUGAUGGGUUGGAGGCUUCUCCUGAACACCUGGUCUUCCUCAGCUCACUCUUCAUUCAGUAGCUCUCAACAUCAAUAUUCAUUUAUAUAUUAAUUAAGAAAUUGUAACAGAGGCUCAGGAAAAGCACAA